AGAGUUUGAUCAUGGCUCAGAUUGAACGCUGGCGGCAGGCCUAACACAUGCAAGUCGAGCGGUAGCACAGAGAGCUUGCUCUCGGGUGACGAGCGGCGGACGGGUGAGUAAUGUCUGGGAAACUGCCUGAUGGAGGGGGAUAACUACUGGAAACGGUAGCUAAUACCGCAUAACGUCGCAAGACCAAAGUGGGGGACCUUCGGGCCUCAUGCCAUCAGAUGUGCCCAGAUGGGAUUAGCUAGUAGGUGGGGUAACGGCUCACCUAGGCGACGAUCCCUAGCUGGUCUGAGAGGAUGACCAGCCACACUGGAACUGAGACACGGUCCAGACUCCUACGGGAGGCAGCAGUGGGGAAUAUUGCACAAUGGGCGCAAGCCUGAUGCAGCCAUGCCGCGUGUGUGAAGAAGGCCUUCGGGUUGUAAAGCACUUUCAGCGGGGAGGAAGGCGGUGAGGUUAAUAACCUCAUCGAUUGACGUUACCCGCAGAAGAAGCACCGGCUAUCC
rnacentral:rRNA from 1 species